rnacentral:rRNA from 1 species
UACGUAGGGUGCGAGCGUUAAUCGGAAUUACUGGGCGUAAAGCGUGCGCAGGCGGCUUUGCAAGACAGAUGUGAAAUCCCCGGGCUCAACCUGGGAACUGCAUUUGUGACUGCAAGGCUAGAGUACGGCAGAGGGGGAUGGAAUUCCGCGUGUAGCAGUGAAAUGCGUAGAUAUGCGGAGGAACACCAAUGGCGAUGGCAAUCCCCUGGGCCUGUACUGACGCUCAUGCACGAAAGCGUGGGGAGCAAACAGG